GACGAACGCUGGCGGCGUGCCUAAUACAUGCAAGUUGAGCGCUGAAGGUUGGUACUUGUACCAACUGGAUGAGCAGCGAACGGGUGAGUAACGCGUGGGGAAUCUGCCUUUGAGCGGGGGACAACAUUUGGAAACGAAUGCUGAUACCGCAUAAAAACUUUAAACACAAGUUUUAAGUUUGAAAGAUGCAAUUGCAUCACUCAAAGAUGAUCCCGCGUUGUAUUAGCUAGUUGGUGAGGUAAAGGCUCACCAAGGCGAUGAUACAUAGCCGACCUGAGAGGGUGAUCGGCCACAUUGGGACUGAGACACGGCCCAAACUCCUACGGGAGGCAGCAGUAGGGAAUCUUCGGCAAUGGACGAAAGUCUGACCGAGCAACGCCGCGUGAGUGAAGAAGGUUUUCGGAUCGUAAAACUCUGUUGGUAGAGAAGAACGUUGGUGAGAGUGGAAAGCUCAUCAAGUGACGGUAACUACCCAGAAAGGGACGGCUAACUACGU
rnacentral:rRNA from 1 species